CCUUGUCUGUGAUGACUUGUUUCUUAUGGUGACUGCUGGAUGAAUCCUGCGGAUAUGGGGCUGAGACAAGGC